GACAGAGAGAAGGAGAGAGAGAUAGAGAGACAGAGACAGAGAUGGAGGGAGGGAGAGGGAGAGAAACAGCAAGAGGAACAGGGAGAGGGAAAAAGAGAGAGGAGGAAGAGAUAGGGAAUGGUAGCAGGAGGGAGGAAAAGAUGUAAUAUAUGUAUAUAUGAAGAUAUGGACCAGGGGAUCUUUAUUCACUUUCCAUAUUCUUUUACGUGGUUAUUGAUGUAUGUCCUUACUUUUUGGCUUUUGGUACUGAUGCCAUGAUGUACUAAUUUUAGAAAGGAAGACUGACAUAUAACCAAGAAAACUCAGGAAACAAAUACCAUGAAUCAAGGCUAAAAUAAUAGAAUGAUGCAAAGUCCUAUGUUAGGUUCUGAGAAUACAAACAUUCUUGCUAACAGAAAGCUCACAAUCUAACAGGGGAGAUAAAUAACAAUAUGAAAAUUUUAAUAUAUUAAUUCCCUUUACAACCUGGCAACCUAUUUCCAAUAUCCAUUGAAAUGGUACCUUUUCAUUUUGAUUCCUAGAUGUUCCAGGCUGGUCAACAAUACUUGGAAUGGGAGUUCCAAUGAUCUGUUGUAAAGUCUUGAUUUAGACUUUGUCACUGGGAUUGAAGAGCAAGUAGGUGGUACAGUUGUUAUAAUGCUCCCAAGCCUGAAUUCAGGAAGACUCAUCUUCAUGAGUUCAAAUCUGGCCUUAGAUACUUACUAGCUGUGAGACCCUGGCCAGGUCAUGUGACCCUGUUUGCCUCAGUUUCCUAAUCUUAACUUGAAGAAGGGGCAAACCACUUAAGUUAUCCUUGCCAAGAAAAUCUCAAAUCAGGUCACAGAGAAUCUGAAAUGAUUGAAUAACAAUUUCUAUAAUUUUCAGAAAUGAUAGAUACAGGUCUAAACAAAACUCAUUCUUUUUUAUAAUUGGCCAAAUUUGUAAAUUUCCCUUCUUUGGCUGAGAGAAGUCCUACUUCCUUAAACUGCAGCACUUCAGAGUUUCAUAAUACGCUGUCAGCAAGGCUAAUCAGAUAUUAUGACCUCGCCCAAGUAAGACGUCCUUCAUAGACAAAGAAAAGCCCAAAAGGAUAUGGAUACUUUCUUCCAAAAGUUUAUUCCCAGAGAAGUUUUAUUGGAAGUGAUGGAACCACUUGAACUUUGAGAACAGAGUUUGCAUAAGCAGAGGCGGGUGCUGUACUCCCAGAGCAUCAGAACAGAAGAAAUACAACACAAGGCUUCUCUACCCAGUGAGGAACUGAAAGGGCACUUACCCAUUAAGACAAGAUGAGUCAAUCACUGAUUUCAGUCAUGACAACUGGCAAGCGAGGCAGAUGGUAAGAAAAGAGACCCCAGACCCCAAGGCAGCCCUCUCUGAGGAACUCCUUUAAUCUGGUAAGAUUUCUCACCGAGAGACUUCUCUGAGAAGAACUAUCUCAGAGGUCAGACUUCUCCUUAACUUCAACUCAAAUUUAUUCAAACCAAGAUAAACCCUUAAAUGGGAGACUCUCACCAGCAGGAAAUGAAAUUCUUGUCACAGGUAGAACAAUCUCUUCAAAUUAUAGAAGAUUCUCUAUUAAGGAUAGAACAGUUUCUCCUGCAAAAGGAAGCAGAAAAUUCAUUUCUCCAGCAAAUUAAAAAAACCUUAUUGCAAGCAGAACAAUCUCUUCUACAAGUAGGAAUAUCCCUCAGGCGCUUAGACAGAGAAACUGAAAACAAGGCCUUGGACUCUAUGCACUAGCAUUACAUUUUCAAAAAAAUAAAAAAGAAGAAGAAAAUAAAUCUUCCAAAGAAGUGGGGCUUAAAGAAAAAUUUAUAUAGUUGCCUUUUAAUUGAUUUCAAAAGACACUGUAGUUGGAAAUUACAAUAAGAUUUCUCUGAACUGAUGCAAAAUGAAGUUAAUGGAACCAGGAGAACAUGCACAAUAACUAUAUUGUAAAGUGAUUAACUGUGAAUAAUUUAGCUAUUCUCAGCACUACAAUGAUCCAAGACAAUUCUGAAAGACAUAUGAUGAAAAGUGUUAUCUGCUUCCAGAGAAAGAACUGAUGGAGUCUGAAUGCAGAUUGAAGCAUAUUUUUUUAAAAGCUUUCUUUUUUUUGCUUUCAUUCUGAUACAUGUUUUCUUUCACAACAUGCCUAAUAUGGAAAUAUGUUUUGCAUGAUUGCACAUAUAUAAUCUCUAUCAAAUCUCUUGCCUUUCAAGGAUGGUGAGAGGGGAAGGAAGUAGAGAAUUGGAAACUUAAAUUUUUCAAAAUAAAUAUUAAAAAAUUGUAUGUAUUAUUGAAAAAUUAAAUAUAAAAACUUUAAAAUGUUAUAUGUACAUACAUAUGUAUGUGUUUCUCUGAACUGAUUUGCCUAUGUGCUAUUCUUUUCUUAUGAUGAAUCCCUACAUGAAUUCCUGAGCCCCUGAGGAGGAUUUCUUAAGGGACAAUUGCUUAGGAAACUCUGAAACCACCUAUAAAAUCUCAUGAGAGAUACAUUUAAGUGCUAUAUUUAAGAAAUUCAAGUAACAAGUGAGAAAAGCCCUAAAAUGCUUUAAAUUAAGCAUUAAAAAUCCAGAAAACCCUUAAUGUGGUCAUCUCUAUAUAAAUAUUAAAUACUAGCCAUACUAGAUUA